GUGCCAGCCGCCGCGGUAAUACCGGCAGCCCGAGUGAUGGCCGAUAUUAUUGGGCCUAAAGCGUCCGUAGCUGGCCGGACAAGUCUGUUGGGAAAUCCACGCGCUCGACGCGUGGGCGUCCAGCGGAAACUGUCUGGCUUGGGGCCGGAGGACUCGAGGGGUACGUCUGGGGUAGGAGUGAAAUCCCGUAAUCCUGGACGGACCACCGGUGGCGAAAGCGCCUCGAGCGGACGGACCCGACAGUGAGGGACGAAAGCUAGGGUCUCGGACCGGAUUAGAUACCCGUGUAGUCC
rnacentral:rRNA from 1 species